rnacentral:rRNA from 1 species
GACGAACGCUGGCGGCGUGCUUAACACAUGCAAGUCGAACGAAGUGGCGAACGGGUGAGUAACGCGUCAUCAACCUGCCCUUCAGAGGGGUACAACAGUUGGAAACGACUGCUAAUACCGCAUACUGAAGGAGGGUAUUGCGUCGGAUUAGCUGGUUGGGGGGGUAACGGCCCACCAAGGCGAUGAUCGGAAGCCGGUCUGAGAGGAGGGACGGCCAAAAUGGGAAUGCGACACGGCCCAGACUCCUUCGGGAGGCAGCAGGGGGGAAUCUUCCGCAAUGGACGAAAGUCUGACGGAGCAACGCCGCGGGAGUGAUGACGGCCUUCGGGUUGUAAAGCUCUGUUAAUCGGGACGCGGUACCGGAAUAGAAAGCCACGGCUAACUACGUGCCAGCAGCCGCGGUAAUAC